AUUGAACGCUGGCGGCAUGCCUUACACAUGCAAGUCGAACGGUAACAGGUCUUCGGAUGCUGACGAGUGGCGAACGGGUGAGUAAUACAUCGGAACGUGCCUAGUAGUGGGGGAUAACUACUCGAAAGAGUGGCUAAUACCGCAUGAGAUCGCCGGAUGAAAGCAGGGGAUCGCAAGACCUUGUGCUACUAGAGCGGCCGAUGGCAGAUUAGGUAGUUGGUGGGAUAAAAGCUUACCAAGCCGACGAUCUGUAGCUGGUCUGAGAGGACGAUCAGCCACACUGGGACUGAGACACGGCCCAGACUCCUACGGGAGGCAGCAGUGGGGAAUUCUGGACAAUGGGCGCAAGCCUGAUCCAGCAAUGCCGCGUGCAGGAUGAAGGCCUUCGGGUUGUAAACUGCUUUUGUACGGAACGAAAAGCCCUGGGUUAAUACCCUGGGGUCAUGACGGUACCGUAAGAAUAAGCACCGGCUAACUACGUGCCAGCCGCCGCAGUAA
rnacentral:rRNA from 1 species